rnacentral:rRNA from 1 species
AAAGAUGAGCAUGCGUCCCAUUAGCUAGUUGGUAAGGUAACGGCUUACCAAGGCAACGAUGGGUAGGGGUCCUGAGAGGGAGAUCCCCCACACUGGUACUGAGACACGGACCAGACUCCUACGGGAGGCAGCAGUGAGGAAUAUUGGUCAAUGGGCGCAAGCCUGAACCAGCCAUGCCGCGUGCAGGAUGACGGUCCUAUGGAUUGUAAACUGCUUUUGCACAGGAAGAAACACUCGGUCGUGACCGAGCUUGACGGUACUGUGAGAAUAAGGAUCGGCUAACUCCGUGCCAGCAGCCGCGGUAAUACGGAGGAUCCAAGCGUUAUCCGGAAUCAUUGGGUUUAAAGGGUCCGUAGGCGGCCAGAUAAGUCAGUGGUGAAAGCCCAUCGCUCAACGAUGGAACGGCCAUUGAUACUGUUUGGCUUGAAUUAUUUGGAAGUAACUAGAAUAUGUAGUGUAGCGGUGAAAUGCUUAGAGAUUACAUGGAAUACCAAUUGCGAAGGCAGGUUACUACAAAUUGAUUGACGCUGAUGGACGAAAGCGUGGGUAGCGAACAGGAUUAGAUACCCUGGUAGUCCACGCCGUAAACGAUGGAUACUAGCUGUUGGGAGCAAUCUCAGUGGCUAAGCGAAAGUGAUAAGUAUCCCACCUGGGGAGUACGUUCGCAAGAAUGAAACUCAAAGGAAUUGACGGGGGCCCGCACAAGCGGUGGAGCAUGUGGUUUAAUUCGAUGAUACGCGAGGAACCUUACCAAGGCUUAAAUGUAGAUUGACCGGUUUGGAAACAGACUUUUCGCAAGACAAUUUACAAGGUGCUGCAUGGUUGUCGUCAGCUCGUGCCGUGAGGUGUCAGGUUAAGUCCUAUAACGAGCGCAACCCCUGUUGUUAGUUGCCAGCGAGUCAUGUCGGGAACUCUAGCAAGACUGCCAGUGUAAACUGUGAGGAAGGUGGGGAUGACGUCAAAUCAUCACGGCCCUUACGCCUUGGGCUACACACGUGCUACAAUGGCCGGUACAGAGAGAGAGC